GUGCGCGUCCACGGGAAAGGCGUGCGCGCACCAACCUCAGAUCGCCAGCUGAGCUUUGCGAGACACGCAGACGUCGACGUGAUCCCUCUUCAAUCGAAAAUCCAGAGUGCAGUGUGCUUUCCGUAUGGCCGCUCUCUUAAUAAGGAGUCCAAGAAUAAAAUCUUUGGGGAUCUCCGUGCUGCUCCUGCUCAUCUUCCUUCAGACCUUGCUGCUGCUCUACCCCGGUGUGUUCAUCCACUCUGAUGAAGUCCUCAUUAGCCCUGGAUUUUUCCAUAGUGGAAAAAUAGUGGGCCCUCUGUGUUUUUAUGCUACAGUCUUGCUUGUGGCCUUUGCCCUGCUGAGCAUGCUGUUAGCUGCUUAUGCCAAAGACAGAACAACACUGAAAUGCAGCAUGGUCUGCCAGGCUGCAUCAAGCCUGCUCACUCUGGGAAGCAUCGUUAUGUUUUGGAUAUGGUUUCACUUCUACUUGAGUUGGAAAGACAUAACACCUUGGUUUUAUUUGUGUGUGGGUGUGGAAAUGCAGUUGAUUAUAACAACUGUGCUUACAAGGCUUUUAGGAAAGGCGCUGACUUCUGACUGGGAAUAAAUGGCUUCAAGCUUGCGCCAGCUUCCACAGGACAAAAAGACUUCAUUACUAUUUAUGUUUAUUGUCUUUGUUCAAAUCCUAUUGCUGAUGUCAUGACAUACCUCUGAAAUUAUUUGAUUUUAAGGUCCGGUUUGGAGAGUUUUGUUUUUACUGCUGUUCCAAUGAGUUGGGUGUCUUUACCUUUGUAAAAAAUUAAGAGGAUAAGAUUGAAACUGUGACAAAAAAGCAAAGCAUUCAUGAAGAUUGUGCUGAAAAUGUUCUGAUAUCUUACACUGAACAAGAAGUCUUUGUUCCACUGCAGCCAUAACAACAUAUUUGAAGUUGUUAUGGCUGAAGCCUUAUUUGCAGCAGGCUUCUUAUAAGAAGAACCGCCUACUACCUACUUUUCAGGGCUUUCUUAGUUUCUUGUAUUGCAUCAUUAAAGAGAAAUAAAUCAUUCUCAUACAUUUGCACUGCAUGGUUGGUAAACAGAUGAAGCUUGUUGGUCUUUAUUUUCAUUUAGAGGUUAUAUUGAAGCAGGAAGUUAGAUAAAAGAGAGAAAAGUCUGGGAUUCCCCCAAAUUCAAUUUCUUUAAUGGCUGCCUAGCAUAUUAAACAUAAUGGGAAACAAAAAUUUUGCUUAUUUGUAAUGAUUAGUAUUUUACCUCAACAGUAUUUUACAACCUCUAUUAGAUGCUGGUAUUAACAUGUACCAGUGAACAAGUAAUCAAUUAAUCUCCUGAAAGUUCUUCAAAAUAAUUCAAACAUCAGCACUCCUGAGAUCCAUUUAAUUUCAGCUGCAAAUGUUUAUAAGCUUACAUGUGCAGAUUAAAGAUGCGAUAUGAGAGUAAACAUACAACAAAGUACAAAGUUCAGGAUCAUCGCAGAGAUUUUAACCCAUGGACAACUUUGACAGUGAUGCACAUUUAGACACAACUAAAGGUUUUCCCUAAAAGAUUUACUGUAUUCCAAAUAGUUGUCUAAACUGCUUAGAUUAGCUACGUGCAGCUCUGAUUUUUUUAAUGGAUUUCAGACCUGUAUUCAUCACUGUCCGCAUCAUUCAGGACGCAUGUUAACAAGCCUUGGUGAACAUGUUUCUAAAUUGCUUGAAAGCACAAAAUGUGGAGAUAUGCAUUAUCGCGUUAUUAUAGCGUUAUCACUCUGCACAUGAAUUAGGAAAUGGUUUUGAACUUGAAACUGGAAGUAAUUGAGGGUCUGAUGGCAUUUCUAGACCCAAGUCCCAACAUCAGAGGUAAAUGUAACACAGCACAGGUAGCAGCUAGCACUCAUUCCUAGUUAACUAUCAUCGUCAUUUCAUGGGAUUUCUCCUAAUUUUUUCUUUUCUUUUGAGAAUAUUCUUGCCGUCUUACCUCUCUGAGCUGCUUCACCCAUAUUCUCCUCGUCAGUGCCUCAGGUCCGUUCCAGGUUUACAGAACAAUCUCCCUUUAUCAGACAUGUCCUGUUAUUGUUCACUUUUAAAACUCUUCUAAAAACACAUCUUUAUUCCUUGGCUUUUGGCACAGCCUGAGGCUUUUUGAUUGUACUUUUGUCUUUGCCGUUUUAUUGAUUUGCCUGUUCUUACACUGUAGUUCUUUUUUCUUGUUUAAGUUGUAAAUCUUCCUUGAUUUUACAUGUACAGCACUUUGUUGCAGCUGUGGUUGUUUAAAAGUAUUUUAUAAAUAAAUAAAGUAAGUUAUCAUGUGUGUUUGAACAACUUA